UCGGGAAUUUUGGGCAAUGGGCGAAAGCCUGACCCAGCAACGCCGCGUGAAGGAUGAAGUAUUUCGGUAUGUAAACUUCGUAAGAAUAGGAAGAAUAAAUGACGGUACUAUUUAUAAGGUCCGGCUAACUACGUGCCAGCAGCCGCGGUAAUACGUAGGGACCAAGCGUUGUUCGGAUUUACUGGGCGUAAAGGGCGCGUAGGCGGCAAUUCAAGUCAUCUGUGAAAUCUCCGGGCUUAACUCGGAACGGUCAGAUGAUACUGCUUUGCUAGAGUGCAGAAGGGGCAAUCGGAAUUCUUGGUGUAGCGGUGAAGUGCGUAGAUAUCAAGAGGAACACCUGAGGUGAAGACGGGUUGCUGGGCUGACACUGACGCUGAGGCGCGAAAGCCAGGGGAGCAAACAGGAUUAGAUACCCUAGUAGUCCCUAG
rnacentral:rRNA from 1 species